rnacentral:rRNA from 1 species
GACGAACGCUGGCGGCGUGCUUAACACAUGCAAGUCGAACGGGAGUAUCGAAGAAGCUUGCUUUUAAGAUACUUUAGUGGCGGACGGGUGAGUAACGCGUGAGGAGCUGUCCUAUGCAGGGGGACAACAGUUGGAAACGACUGCUAAUACCCCAUAAGCCGAGAGGUAAAAGGAUUUAUCCGGCAAAGGAGGUACUCGCGUCCUAUCAGCUGGUAGGUGAGGUAACGGCUCACCUAGGCGAAGACGGGUAGCCGGCCUGAGAGGGCGAACGGCCACACUGGAACUGAGAUACGGUCCAGACUCCUACGGGAGGCAGCAGUGGGGAAUAUUGGGCAAUGGGGGAAACCCUGACCCAGCGACGCCGCGUGGGUGAAGAAAUCCUUCGGGAUGUAAAGCCCUGUUGUAUGGGAAGAGCAGAAGACGGUACCAUACGAGGAAGCCCCGGCAAACUACGUGCCAGCCGCCGCGGUAAAAC